GUCCACGCCCUAAACGAUGCUCACUAGGUGUUGGGGAAGCGAUUCCUUGGUACCGAAGCUAACGCGUGAAGUGAGCCGCCUGGGGAGUACGGCCGCAAGGUUAAAACUCAAAGGAAUUGACGGGGACCCGCACAAGCGGUGGAUGAUGUGGAUUAAUUCGAUGCAACGCGAACAACCUUACCUACCCUUGACAUGUCCGGAAGGCCCCUGAGAGGGGGCUGUGCCUGAAAGGGAACUGGAACACAGGUGCUGCAUGGCUGUCGU
rnacentral:rRNA from 1 species